UACGAAGGGGGCUAGCGUUGCUCGGAAUUACUGGGCGUAAAGCGCACGUAGGCGGCUUCUUAAGUCGGGAGGUGAAAUCCUGGAGCUCAACUCCAGAACUGCCUUCGAUACUGGGAGCUCGAGUCCGGGAGAGGUGAGUGGAACUGCGAGUGUAGAGGUGAAAUUCGUAGAUAUUCGCAAGAACACCAGUGGCGAAGGCGGCUCACUGGCCCGGUACUGACGCUGAGGUGCGAAAGCGUGGGGAGCAAACAGG
rnacentral:rRNA from 1 species